AUUGAACGCUGGCGGCAUGCCUUACACAUGCAUGUCGAACGGUAACAGGUCUUCGGAUGCUGACGAGUGGCGAACGGGUGAGUAAUACAUCGGAACGUGCCUAGUAGUGGGGGAUAACUACUCGAAAGAGUGGCUAAUACCGCAUGAGAUCUACGGAUGAAAGCAGGGGAUCGCAAGACCUUGUGCUACUAGAGCGGCCGAUGGCAGAUUAGGUAGUUGGUGGGAUAAAAGCUUACCAAGCCGACGAUAUGCAGCUGGUCUGAGAGGACGAUCAGCCACACUGGGACUGGGACACGGCCCAGACGCCUACGGGAGGCAGCAGUGGGGAAUUUUGGACAAUGGGCGAGAGCCUGAUCCAGCAAUGCCGCGUGCAGGAUGAAGGCCUUCGGGUUGUAAACUGCUUUUGUACGGAACGAAAAGCCCUGGGUUAAUACCCUGGGGUCAUGACGGUACCGUAAGAAUAAGCACCGGCUAACUACGUGCCAGCCGCCGCGGUAA
rnacentral:rRNA from 1 species